rnacentral:lncRNA from 1 species
CUCCUCUUGCUAGUCCAUGACAGUUUGUUUUCUUUCUAGCCCUUCGGCUCCUUUAGAUCAUUCUGAAGUUUUUGACAGUUGCGUUUUAUUAUGCCCUUUACUAUGGCAGUAGGAGCACUCUACCUCUAGUACCAUCUUCUUCUGCCUAUUUACGGUCACUGAUAUUUCCACUAUUUUUCUUUCGAUUUUACCACCAGAGCUAUAUUUUGACUCUGCAU